UUGCAGAUGAUGAGGACGAAGACGAUGAGGGAGAUAUCUUCUCAGGAAAACCACCUCCAACGAAAAAAGAAGAGCCUAAGAAAAGUAAACCUCCCGAAAAGAAAGCUUCGGAAGAGGAGAUUAAGUCGCGGUCCAGUAGCAGUAAAUCCACCGCGUCAGGACAGAUAAAGCCAACGCCAUCGUCGUCGCAGAAGGCCAGUCGAAGUCCUUCCGUGUCCAGCAACAGUUUGUUCGCUGAAGAGCCAGAUGCAGAUGAUCUUUUUGCAGGAAAACCCAGAGCCGACAGUAAAAAUAAACCCAAGGCUGGCAGUGGAGGAGGAGGAGGUGGAUUAUUUGGUGAGGAAGGCACUGAUGAUGGACUGUUUUCUGCUCCAGCA